rnacentral:rRNA from 1 species
UAUGUGAUCGUCUCUCGCAUAUCAAUAAGCGGAGGAAAAGAAACUAACAAGGAUUCCCCUAGUAACGGCGAGUGAAGCGGGAAGAGCUCAAAUUUGAAAUCUUAAAGGGUUUCCCUUUACGAAUUGUAGUUUAAAGAAGUGUUUUCUGUUGAGGUUUUGGUAAAAGUUCUUUGGAAUAGGACAUCAUAGAGGGUGAGAAUCCCGUAUUUGACCUUUACUUUCAACUUUGUGAUACACUUUCAAAGAGUCGGAUUGUUUGGGAAUGCAGUCCAAAAUGGGUGGUAAAUUUCAUCUAAAGCUAAAUAUUGGCGAGAGACCGAUAGCGAACAAGUACCGUGAGGGAAAGAUGAAAAGAACUUUGAAAAGAGAGUUAAACAGUACGUGAAAUAGUCAAGAGAGAAGCGUUUGACACCAGUGUUGUUUUUCUGAAAAUCAAUUAAAGAACUGUUUAUGCUAAGCUGUUUAGACUUUAUCAGCUAACUGUUUAGUUUUGAGCUUUUCUUUAAUGCACUUUUCAGUUAACAAGUCAACAUCAAUUUCUUUUGCUGUAAAAAAGCUUGAGGAAGGUGGCUUGAGAUUCGUCUUAAGUGUUUAUAGCCUCUUGCCUAUGCAGUCGGAGAGAUUGAGGUCUGCAGCGUAGAUCCUUCGGGGCUAAAUGCAUUUGUGCUAAGUUAUAGCAUUUUAUAGACAACUUGUUGACUAUGAUUUGUCUUGUAGCUUACUCGCUUAUGUUAUUUUACCUACGCUUAGGAUGUUGAUCUGUAGUGCGUGCGC